AGCACCCCAGCGCGUAGGUUGUGAUUCGGAUUUGUAUUUGAGUCAGUCUACAAUUUCUAGGCACUGGAUUUGUAGAGUCCAUCGGGUGGGACGAGAAAUGAGAUCAGCAUGUAGUCUGACUGCUAGAUAGAUAGAAGCAGCUUAUCUUUUAUUGUUGGACAUUUGAAAAUCUUGUAAUUAAACCGAUCGUUUAUUUAAACAUGUCGAAUUGUCAAUUUGAGUUAAUUAAUUAGUUAUGGAUUUAUUGGAA